UUAAAUUACAUACGUUUUUCUUUAGUAUUAAUUUGCCUAACUGUCGAUCUGACCCUGUAGACGCCAUAAUCACACACUCUCUCUCUCUC